UCCGAUAUGGUGUAGUGGCUAACAUUAUCGCCUCUCAUGUGGCCAACCUCCAGGAGCUUCGCGAUAGCCCGGGGUUCGAUUCCCCGUGUCGGAA